CGGGAGAGGGUCACCGGAAGGAGUGCCUUUAGCAGCGUUUUGAUUUUCGUUUUGUGAUUUUUCUCGCCCUAGGCCGAGAUGGCCGAAUUUCGGUCGUUUUUAAAAAUUUCGGCCGAAAUUUGACCAAAUUUUGACUGAAAUUUGAUUAAAAUUUGACCAAAAUUUCUUAAAUUUGACCAAUUUCGGCGGAAAAUAGAUUUCGCCUAGGCCGAGAUGGCCGAAAUUCGGCCGAAAUCCAUUUUUUACGGCCGAAAUUCAAAACCCUGGCCUUUAGAGGUCGUGCGCUGGCUGGGAGCAGCAGGAGCAAGGAUCCAGCGGCCUCUGCCUCCCCGUUGCACGCCAGCACUGCAUCUCCUUCAUAUUUUAUUUUCAGUUUUCACAUGUUGAGCUAUAGGUUGGCUUGAUCUCUUGUGUUAGGGAGGUGUGAGGUUGAACGACUGAAAAUUGUUACUAUGGCCGGUCUGUUUCACAAUUGUCUUAUCUUAAUGCUAAAGAAGUCUUUUUUUGCAGGAAACCUUCCGAUCUGUGGAGAAUAUCCAUGGCUUGGUGAACAUGGUUAAGAGAACUCCAAAACCAUCUGUCAUUGUCUUAUAUUAUGCCAAACUAACUGAAGUAUUCUGAAUAUCCGAGUCACUUGUAUCAUGCAUAUGCAUCGCUGAAGCUUUUCAUCUUGCAAAAGAGCUACAAUAAAAAAUUAACUCAGAAGAGACCUUUUCAAUUUCUCCCUCGUAUCCAAGUGUGAGAAUAGAGAAAUGGUUUCUAGAGCGCACCGUGGAUCCUUUUUUGGCUGCUGUGAUUUUUUUAACAUGCUGCCAAACUGUUCAAUGUCUCUGUUAUCACAUGGAUUUAGUCUUCCAAUGCAUUCUCGUCGAACAAUGUAGGAUGUGAGCUUCUUCGGCUUCUUCCAGCGGCCCAGCCAUGACGUCCUCAAGCCGCCGACGCUCAGAGUGACAUCAACGGCCCUCUCCCAAGCUGCACUGCUCCUGAUCUUCGUCGCCUCACACUGUUGUGCACUUGUGCUCCGCACAGUUCAGCCUGACCAUGAUGUUCUCAAGCCGCUGAUGGUCACAACACACGUGGCGACCCGCUCCCAAGCUGUGUUGCUUUUCCGUCAGCGCUGACAAACUUAGUUUGUUUUUGAAUGUGGGCAUCAGGUCUCCGAGUCGUUUAAAUCUGAACGCAAGACCAAGGCUACUAGCCUGAGCAUUGCGGAACAUAGCAGCAAAGCAUUUGCUGAACUUAAUAAAAGCAAACAUGAAA